rnacentral:rRNA from 1 species
UUUGCGUCGAAGGUAUACCGGUAAGGAGUGCUGGAGCGAAUAGAAGUGAGCAUGCAGGCAUGAGUAGCGAUAAUUAAUGUGAGAAUCAUUAACGCCGUAAACCCAAGGUUUCCUACGCGAUGCUCGUCAUCGUAGGGUUAGUCGGGUCCUAAGUCGAGUCCGAAAGGGGUAGACGAUGGCAAAUUGGUUAAUAUUCCAAUACCAACAUUAGUGUGCGAUGGAAGGACGCUUAGGGCUAAGCAAGCUAGCGGAUGGAAGUGCUAGUCUAAGGAUGUAGGAGCUUAUACAGGCAAAUCCGUAUAAGAAUACUCCGAGAUCUUAAAGGCUCUUUGAAGUCUUCGGAUGGAUAGGAGAAUUGCUGAUGCCGUCGAGCCAAGAAAAGUUUCUAAGUUUAGCUAAUGUUGCCCGUACCGUAAACCGACACAGGUGGGUGGGAUGAGUAUUCUAAGGCGCGUGGAAGAACUCUCUUUAAGGAACUCUGCAAAAUAGCACCGUAUCUUCGGUAUAAGGUGUGGUUCGCUUCGUAUUAGGAUUUACUCCGAAAGCGAAGAAACUUACAACAAAGAGUCCCUCCCGACUGUUUACCAAAAACACAGCACUCUGCUAACUCGUAAGAGGAUGUAUAGGGUGUGACGCCUGCCCGGUGCUCGAAGGUUAAUUGAUGGGGUUAGCAUUAGCGAAGCUCUUGAUCGAAGCCCGAGUAAACGGCGGCCGUAACUAUAACGGUCCUAAGGUAGCGAAAUUCCUUGUCGGUUAAAUACCGACCUGCAUGAAUGGCGUAACGAGAUGGGAGCUGUCUCAAAGAGGGAUCCAGUGAAAUUGUAGUGGAGGUGAAAAUUCCUCCUACCCGCGGCAAGACGGAAAGACCCCGUGGACCUUUACUACAGCUUGACACUGCUAUUUGGAUAAGAAUGUGCAGGAUAGGUGGGAGGCUUUGAGUAUAUGACGCCAGUUGUAUAUGAGCCAUUGUUGAGAUACCACUCUUUCUUAUUUGGGUAGCUAACCAGCUUGAGUUAUCCUCAAGUGGGACAAUGUCUGGUGGGUAGUUUGACUGGGGCGGUCGCCUCCCAAAUAAUAACGGAGGCUUACAAAGGUUGGCUCAGAACGGUUGGAAAUCGUUCGUAGAGUAUAAAGGUAUAAGCCAGCUUAACUGCAAGACAUACAAGUCAAGCAGAGACGAAAGUCGGUCUUAGUGAUCCGGUGGUUCUGUGUGGAAGGGCCAUCGCUCAAAGGAUAAAAGGUACCCCGGGGAUAACAGGCUGAUCUCCCCCAAGAGCUCACAUCGACGGGGAGGUUUGGCACCUCGAUGUCGGCUCAUCGCAUCCUGGGGCUGGAGCAGGUCCCAAGGGUAUGGCUGUUCGCCAUUUAAAGCGGUACGCGAGCUGGGUUCAGAACGUCGUGAGACAGUUCGGUCCCUAUCUGCCGUGGGCGUAAGAAGAUUGAAGAGAUUUGACCCUAGUACGAGAGGACCGGGUUGAACAAACCACUGGUGUAGCUGUUGUUCUGCCAAGAGCAUC